CGCAUCUUGCGCCCCUUGGUAUUCCGAGGGGCAUGCCUGUUUGAGUGUCAUGUUAAUCUCAAAUCACUUGUCUUUCUUAAUUGAAGGGCCUGAGGUUUGGACUUGGAGGAUUCUUGCUGGCUUCCGUCGGCUCCUCUCAAAUGUAUUAGCUGGGCUUCGGCUUGCGUUUACGGUGUAAUAGUUAAUCCUUUCGCCAGAACGCUUGCCUAAUAGGUCUGCUUCUAAUUGUCCGUCUCGGACAAGGCUUCUGGCCUUCUGACUCCUUUGACCUCAAAUCAGGUAGGACUACCCGCUGAACUUAA
rnacentral:misc_RNA from 1 species